ACUUCCUACGGGACGCAGCAGUGAGGAAUAUUGGUCAAUGGGCGAGAGCCUGAACCAGCCAAGUCGCGUGAAGGAUGACGGCCCUAUGGGUUGUAAACUUCUUUUGUCAGGGAGCAACGCCGGCUACGUGUAGCCGGACUGAGAGUACCUGAAGAAAAAGCAUCGGCUAACUCCGUGCCAGCAGCCGCGGUAAUACGGAGGAUGCGAGCGUUAUCCGGAUUUAUUGGGUUUAAAGGGUGCGUAGGCGGAAUGCCAAGUCAGCGGUAAAAUCGCGGGGCUCAACCUCGCUCCGCCGUUGAAACUGG
rnacentral:rRNA from 1 species